CAACCCUGGUUUCUCUUCAGAUCGUAUAAAUCUUUCACCUUUUACUAAAGAUUUCUGUGGAGAGGAACAAAACUGAGUCUUUGGUUAAUUUUUUGAGGUCUCGUUAUCAACGAGACU